CAGUCGCCACGGGAAUACGAAGGGUGCAAGCGUUAAUCGGAAUUACUGGGCGUAAAGCGCGCGUAGGUGGUUUGGUAAGAUGGAUGUGAAAUCCCCGGGCUCAACCUGGGAACUGCAUCCAUAACUGCCUGACUAGAGUACGGUAGAGGGUGGUGGAAUUUCCUGUGUAGCGGUGAAAUGCGUAGAUAUAGGAAGGAACACCAGUGGCGAAGGCGACCACCUGGACUGAUACUGAAACUGAGGUGCGAAAGCGUGGGGAGCAAACAGGAUUAGAUACCCGCGUAGUCCCUGUCUCUUAUAC
rnacentral:rRNA from 1 species